UGCUUACACAUGCAGUCGAACGAUGAACCACUUCGGUGGGGAUUAGUGGCGAACGGGUGAGUAACACGUGGGCAAUCUGCCCUGCACUCUGGGACAAGCCCUGGAAACGGGGUCUAAUACCGGAUACUGAUCACUGCAGGCAUCUGUGGUGUUCGAAAGCUCCGGCGGUGCAGGAUGAGCCCGCGGCCUAUCAGCUUGUUGGUGAGGUAAUGGCUCACCAAGGCGACGACGGGUAGCCGGCCUGAGAGGGCGACCGGCCACACUGGGACUGAGACACGGCCCAGACUCCUACGGGAGGCAGCAGUGGGGAAUAUUGCACAAUGGGCGAAAGCCUGAUGCAGCGACGCCGCGUGAGGGAUGACGGCCUUCGGGUUGUAAACCUCUUUCAGCAGGGAAGAAGCGAAAGUGACGGUACCUGCAGAAGAAGCGCCGGCUAACUACGUGCCAGCAGCCGCGGUAAUACGUAGGGCGCGAGCGUUGUCCGGAAUUAUUGGGCGUAAAGAGCUCGUAGGCGGCUUGUCACGUCGGUUGUGAAAGCCCGGGGCUUAACCCCGGGUCUGCAGUCGAUACGGGCAGGCUAGAGUUCGGUAGGGGAGAUCGGUUUCCUGGUGUA
rnacentral:rRNA from 1 species